rnacentral:tRNA from 1 species
GCGCCUGUGGUGAAAUUGGUAGACACGCAGGUUUUAGGUACCUGUGCUUUACAGCGUGGGGGUUCAAGUCCCUCCAGGCGCACCA